UUAGUUUUUUUUUGUGGGUUUACUUUUUUUUUACCGUUCUUCAAGGUAGUCCACCACCACCACACUAUGAGGAUACGUGACUUGUGUAUUUUUCCACCACCUCACCUACCACUAGAGAUGCACAAACCCAGGAUCCGAUCCGGUCAACAAUUCGAUCUGGUCCAAUCCGAUCCGAAUCUGGUCAACAAUCCGAAUCCGAUUUGAAACCGGUUUGAUCCGGAUUUUGUUAGCUUUUGCCAGAUUUUUCGACGGUUUAAGAACUGGUUUUUGUAGAAUCCGGUUUGUGAUCCGGGGGUCAAUCCGAUUUCGAGUCCGAAAAGCCAAACCGGUUUGAAUCCGGUCUCCGAUUUAAUCCGAUUCGGUUUGGUCAAAACCGGUUUUGACCAAAAACCGGAUUUCGGAUCGGAUCGGUUUCAUUUCGAGGAUCCGGAUUCUGUGUGCAUCUCUACCUACCACUCCUAUUAUGACAUCUUCAUGUUCCACCGCCUACUUCUCUCCAUCUAUUACGUCUUUCUCACCGUAAGGGUCAGUUAGUGUUCCUGGUCGAAUCAACGAUAAAACCCCACCGCUACCUACUCUUAUCUCUGUUGUUUAUAUUAACUUCUAUGGAGUUAAUCCCAUGUUCGAAUGUCCAUUGUCUUCGUCUUCCUCUGUGUCUUCUCAUUUCCCCCAAUUGACCAACAAAUCGUUUCCUCAGGCGUUGUGCUUUUCUCUUCUUUUGUUCAACAUCACUGAUAGUUUAAUCUUCUCCAUAUUGGUCGCUGUUUCCAAACUCCUCCCAAACCUCUCAUGUUUGUCGAUCAUUUUUAGUGAAGUCGGCGCCACCUUUACCCAAUUGAUCUUCACAAUAGAACACCACCUAGAGUAACGGUUGCGAUCACCGGAAAGUGCAACGGUGGUUGUUAUUUUUCUUGGGAAAGAAACAGAUAGAGACUAAAGAUUACUUGAUUAUUCUCUUACCUGAUGUUUAAUUUUCCGGAAAUCUCACUGUCUUAUGGUAUGAUUGGUGCUUUCAGGUCCUGUGGGUAUAAGCAGAAAGCUUGCUAUUUUAUUUCGGAUCUCAGUAGCUUACAUGGAAAAACAAAGAUCAGUUUGAAAUGAUUUGAUUUCCAAUAUACAAAUAAAGAUCAUAGUCAAAUAAUUCCAUUGGUCAAGAGUAUAAUAAUAGAAGAAGCAAAUAACUUCUCAUAGCCUCCUCUUAUCAUGGGGUCUUUUAUUCUACCAAUUAGUUUGAUCCUGAAGGAUUUAGUACACAUUUUCUUCCUACUAACUUUAACAAAUUUCCAUUUUCUUUUAUCUCAAUCCUUUUAAUUAUUCUAAAUGGUUUUUAAAAUUAAAGGAAAACAAGGAAUAACUAGCGGUUUCUGUUGUUUUUGGUUACAACCUUCGUGAAAAUAUUGCAUCCCUCUUCCAUUUCUUUGGUGAGAAUAAUAAGAGAAGCUCUUUCUAAAGUGUACUGGAAUUCAACUUCUGAAACAAAUCAAUGAUAAUUUUCAUAUAUUUGGUUCUUAUUAUGAUUAUAGCUUAAAAUUUUAUAUAUUACCAAAUGAUUUUUUAUAAAAUAAAUAUUUCAGGUGCGAAAUAUACCUCAUGGGCUUCCUCUAUAACUGUAAUAUUAUAUUUCUCUAAAGUUAGUUGUAAUUAUUAACUUUUUUUUUCAAACAUGCAAAUGAUUAGAUGUCUUUAAUUUAAGAAUCUAUGGGGAUUGCUAAAGCUUUGGGAGCAAAUAGAUAUGAAUUGGACCGUUAUUUGACCGUGGUGUCUAUUGUUGAUCUUUUAACACACUAAAUACCAAUGUACUUUCCAUUUACAUGUUUUUGUUUAUGCAUCUUCUCAAGAAAAGAAAUGGGAAUUUUUCA